AGAGUUUCUUUCUGGCUCAGGAUGAACGCUAGCGACAGGCUUAACACAUGCAAGUCGAGGGGCAGCGGGGGAGCUGCAAUGCUCCUGCCGGCGACCGGCGCACGGGUGAGUAACACGUAUGGAACCUGCCCGCAGCAGGGGGAUAAGCGGAAGAAAUUCCGUCUAAUACCGCGUAACACCGCGGAGGGGCAUCCCUCGGCGGUUAAAGAUUCAUCGGCUGCAGAUGGCCAUGCGGCGCAUUAGCUAGUCGGCGGGGUAACGGCCCACCGAGGCGACGAUGCGUAGGGGUUCUGAGAGGAAGGUCCCCCACACUGGUACUGAGACACGGACCAGACUCCUACGGGAGGCAGCAGUGAGGAAUAUUGGUCAAUGGCCGGGAGGCUGAACCAGCCAAGUCGCGUGAGGGAAGACGGCCCUACGGGUUGUAAACCUCUUUUGUCAGGGAGCAAGAGGCGGGUCGGGACCUGCUGUGAGAGUACCUGAAGAAAAAGCAUCGGCUAACUCCGUGCCAGCAGCCGCGGUAAUACGGAGGAUGCGAGCGUUAUCCGGAUUUAUUGGGUUUAAAGGGUGCGCAGGCGGAGGCACAAGUCAGCGGUAAAAUCGCGGGGCUCAACCCCGCUCCGCCGUUGAAACUGUGUCCCUUGAGUGCGCGAAGGGUAGGCGGAAUGCGUGGUGUAGCGGUGAAAUGCAUAGAUAUCACGCAGAACUCCGAUCGCGAAGGCAGCCUACCGGCGCGCGACUGACGCUCAUGCACGAAAGCGUGGGUAUCGAGCAGGAUUAGAUACCCUGGUAGUCCACGCAGUAAACGAUGAAUGCUAUCUGUCCGGCCGGAAUGACGGCUGGGUGGCACAGCGAAAGCGUUAAGCAUUCCACCUGGGGAGUACGCCGGCAACGGUGAAACUCAAAGGAAUUGACGGGGGCCCGCACAAGCGGAGGAACAUGUGGUUUAAUUCGAUGAUACGCGAGGAACCUUACCCGGGCUCAAACGACGCAGGGAUGCCGCCGAAAGGCGACAGACCUUUUAGGACCUGCGUUGAGGUGCUGCAUGGUUGUCGUCAGCUCGUGCCGUGAGGUGUCGGCUUAAGUGCCAUAACGAGCGCAACCCCCAUCUUCAGUUGCCAUCAGGUAGAGCUGGGCACUCUGGAGAGACUGCCGGCGCAAGCUGCGAGGAAGGCGGGGAUGACGUCAAAUCAGCACGGCCCUUACGUCCGGGGCGACACACGUGUUACAAUGGCAGGUACAGCGGGAAGCCAGGCGGCGACGCCGAGCGGAACCCGAAAACCUGUCUCAGUUCGGAUCGGAGUCUGCAACCCGACUCCGUGAAGCUGGAUUCGCUAGUAAUCGCGCAUCAGCCAUGGCGCGGUGAAUACGUUCCCGGGCCUUGCACUCACCGCCAGUCAAG
rnacentral:rRNA from 1 species